rnacentral:rRNA from 1 species
UACAGAGGGGGCAAGCGUUGUUCGGAAUUACUGGGCGUAAAGGGCGCGUAGGCGGCCCGCUAAGUCGAACGUGAAAUCCCUCAGCUUAACUGGGGAACUGCGUCUGAGACUGGUGAGCUUGAGUGCAGGAGAGGAACGCGGAAUUCCAGGUGUAGCGGUGAAAUGCGUAGAUAUCUGGAGGAACACCGGUGGCGAAGGCGGCGUUCUGGACUGCUACUGACACUGAGGAACGAAAGCCAGGGGAGCAAACGGG